rnacentral:lncRNA from 1 species
AUGGGAGCGAUUAAGGGCUGAAUUAUCUCAUCCAGUUUGGCAUAUCCAAUGGUCUGAUAAUCUCAGGAUCAUACUUUCUCAUAACUAAUAAUUCAGCUAUUCGAUAGUCUUCUAUAUAAACAAUCAGAGCUCUGAGGAUCUAGAUAAGUCUAAUCAAAUUCCUCUCAGAGAAUCUAUUGCUGCUCCUUUGUUCUCUAUUUUUCUGACUAGAGCAUUCGAAGAUCCUCACCGAAGCACAACCUCCGGUUUGGGAC